GUCUACGGCCAUGCCAUCCUGAACAAGCCCGAUCCCGUCUGAUCUCGGAAUCUAAUAAGCAGGGUUGGGCUUGGUUAGUACUUGGAUGGGAGAGACCACCUAGGAAGAGCAGGUACUGUAGGCG
rnacentral:rRNA from 1 species